UGGGGAAUUUUGCACAAUGGGCGCAAGCCUGAUGCAGCGACGCCGCGUGAGGGAUGAAGGCCUUCGGGUUGUAAACCUUUUUCGCUCAUGGUCAAGCCGCAGCUUUGGGUUGUGGUGAGGGUAGUGGGUAAAGAAGCGCCGGCUCACUACGUGCCAGCAGCCGCGGUAAUACGUAGGGCGCGAGCGUUGUCCGGAAUUAUUGGGCGUAAAGGGCUUGUAGGCGGUUGGCCGCGUCUGCCGUGAAAUCCUCUGGCUUAACUGGGGGCGUGCGGUGGGUACGGGUUGACUUGAGUGCGGUAGGGGAGACUGGAAUUCCUGGUGUAGCGGUGGAAUGCGCAGAUAUCAGGAGGAACACCGGUGGCGAAGGAGGGUCUCUGGGCCGUUACUGACGCUGAGGAGCGAAAGCGUGGGGAGCGAACAGG
rnacentral:rRNA from 1 species